AUUGAACGCUGGCGGCAUGCCUUACACAUGCAAGUCGAACGGUAACAGGUCUUCGGAUGCUGACGAGUGGCGAACGGGUGAGUAAUACAUCGGAACGUGCCUAGUAGUGGGGGAUAACUACUCGAAAGAGUGGCUAAUACCGCAUGAGAUCUUCGGAUGAAAGCAGGGGAUCGCAAGACCUUGUGCUACUAGAGCGGCCGAUGGCAGAUUAGGUAGUUGGUGGGAUAAAAGCUUACCAAGCCGACGACCUGUAGCUGGUCUGAGAGGACGAUCAGCCACACUGGGACUGAGACACGGCCCAGACUCCUACGGGAGGCAGCAGUGGGGAAUUUUGGACAAUGGGCGCAAGCCUGAUCCAGCAAUGCCGCGUGCAGGAUGAAGGCCUUCGGGUUGUAAACUGCUUUUGUACGGAACGAAAAGCCCUGGGUUAAUACCCUGGGGUCAUGACGGUACCGUAAGAAUAAGCACCGGCUAACUACGUGCCAGCCGCCGCGGUAA
rnacentral:rRNA from 1 species